rnacentral:ncRNA from 2 species
CUUCGAAAAAGAUAGGUAGCUCGUAUAAUUUUGGGAAUAAGGCCCAACCGUUUCUACCAGGUGACCGUAAAUCACCUGACUACGAGUGAAAGUGCGUCUAGG